AUUGAACGCUGGCGGCAGGCCUAACACAUGCAAGUCGAACGAGUGGCGGACGGGUGAGUAAUGUCUGGGAAACUGCCUGAUGGAGGGGGAUAACUACUGGAAACGGUAGCUAAUACCGCAUACCAUCGGAUGUGCCCAGACGGGAUUAGCUAGUGGGUGGGGUAAAGGCUCACCUAGGCGACGAUCCCUAGCUGGUCUGAGAGGAUGACCAGCCACACGGGAACUGUGACACGGUACAGACUCCUACGUGAGGCAGCAGUAGGGAAUAUUGCACAAUGGGCGCAAUCCUGAUGCAAACAUGCGGCGUGUAUUAAGAAGGCCUUCGGGUUGUAAAGUACUUUCAGCGGAGAGGCGUUACCCGCAGAAGAAGCAGCGGCUAACUCCGUGCCAGCAGCCGCGGUAAUAC
rnacentral:rRNA from 1 species